AUUGAACGCUGGCGGAAUGCUUUACACAUGCAAGUCGAACGGCAGCACGGGGCAACCUGGUGGCGAGUGGCGAACGGGUGAGUAAUACAUCGGAACGUGCCCAAUCGUGGGGGAUAACGUAGCGAAAGUUACGCUAAUACCGCAUACGAUCUACGGAUGAAAGCGGGGGAUCGCAAGACCUCGCGCGAGUGGAGCGGCCGAUGUCAGAUUAGGUAGUUGGUGGGGUAAAGGCUCACCAAGCCAACGAUCUGUAGCUGGUCUGAGAGGACGACCAGCCACACUGGAACUGAGACACGGUCCAGACUCCUACGGGAGGCAGCAGUGGGGAAUUUUGGACAAUGGGCGCAAGCCUGAUCCAGCCAUUCCGCGUGCAGGAUGAAGGCCUUCGGUUGUAACUGCUUUGUUACGGAACGAAACGGACGAGCUCUAAUACAGUUUGCUAAUGACGGUACCGUAAGAAUAAGACACCGGCUAACUACGUGCCAGCAGCCGCGGU
rnacentral:rRNA from 1 species